CCUACGGGUGGCUGCAGUAAGGAAUAUUGGUCAAUGGACGCAAGUCUGAACCAGCCAUGCCGCGUGAAGGAUGAAGGUCCUCUGGAUUGUAAACUUCUUUUAUGGGGGAAGAAAUCUCUUGAUUCUUCGAGAGUUGACGGUACCCUAGGAAUAAGCACCGGCUAACUCCGUGCCAGCAGCCGCGGUAAUACGGAGGGUGCAAGCGUUAUCCGGAUUCACUGGGUUUAAAGGGUGCGUAGGAGGGCAGGUAAGUCAGUGGUGAAAUCUCCGAGCUU
rnacentral:rRNA from 1 species